GGAGAGGUGGCUGAGCGGUUGAAAGCACCGGUCUUGAAAACCGGCGAGGGUUCACACCCUCCGUGGGUUCAAAUCCCACCCUCUCCGCCA
rnacentral:tRNA from 1 species